rnacentral:rRNA from 1 species
GAUGAACGCUGGCGGCGUGCCUAAUACAUGCAAGUCGAGCGAACGGACGAGAAGCUUGCUUCUCUGAUGUUAGCGGCGGACGGGUGAGUAACACGUGGAUAACCUACCUAUAAGACUGGGAUAACUUCGGGAAACCGGAGCUAAUACCGGAUAAUAUUUUGAACCGCAUGGAUCAAAAGUAAAAGACGGUCUUGCUGUCACUUAUAGAUGGAUCCGCGCUGCAUUAGCUAGUUGGUAAGGUAACGGCUUACCAAGGCAACGAUGCAUAGCCGACCUGAGAGGGUGAUCGGCCACACUGGAACUGAGACACGGUCCAGACUCCUACGGGAGGCAGCAGUAGGGAAUCUUCCGCAAUGGGCGAAAGCCUGACGGAGCAACGCCGCGUGAGUGAUGAAGGUCUUCGGAUCGUAAAACUCUGUUAUUAGGGAAGAACAUAUGUGUAAGUAACUGUGCACAUCUUGACGGUACCUAAUCAGAAAGCCACGGCUAACUACGUG